UGCGUGUGGGUAACGGCUGAACCAUACAGCCAAAGUGACGCAGCAUACCAAGAAGCAGGUAGUUGCUUUGCCUGCAUCGAGCACAAGCAGCCGUUCACAAAACCGUGUUCAGCUGUCCCUCACCACGGGUCGUGCCGAUUGCAAGAUGUUCGGGUAACAAAUUUGGGGGAAUCUGGCAGUGAAGCAACCGCCGCCAGAUUUUC
rnacentral:sRNA from 12 species